GUUCUUCACUAUUGUAAGUCGCUUUGGACAAAAGCGUCUGCUAAAUGUAAUGUA
rfam:Astyanax mexicanus chromosome 11, whole genome shotgun sequence.